ACUUAUGGUGCCCAGAAACCAGCUUAAUAUAACAGCGCAACUAAUGCAAGACUCAAAGUCAUCCGAAACCCAAGAGGCAUUUUAGCUUUUUCUCUCAUGUAAGUCUGUGGUGAUUUGCACGAUAGUAAGAAAGCGU